rnacentral:rRNA from 1 species
UACGUAGGUGGCAAGCGUUGUCCGGAUUUACUGGGCGUAAAGAGCGCGCAGGCGGUUGUGCAAGUCGCGUGUGAAAGCCCCCGGCUCAACUGGGGAGGGUCACGCGAUACUGUUCGACUUGAAGGCAGGAGAGGGAAGUGGAAUUCCCGGUGUAGUGGUGAAAUGCGUAGAUAUCAGGAGGAACACCAGCGGCGAAGGCGGCGCUCUGGGCCGGAACUGACGCUGAGGUGCGAAAGCGUGGGGAGCGAACAGG